rnacentral:rRNA from 1 species
AGUGAACGCUGGCGGUAGGCCUAACACAUGCAAGUCGAACGGCAGCACAGUAAGAGCCUGCUCUUACGGGUGGCGAGUGGCGGACGGGUGAGGAAUACAUCGGAAUCUACUUUUUCGUGGGGGAUAACGUAGGGAAACUUACGCUAAUACCGCAUACGACCUACGGGUGAAAGCAGGGGAUCUUCGGACCUUGCGCGAUUGAAUGAGCCGAUGUCGGAUUAGCUAGUUGGCGGGGUAAAGGCCCACCAAGGCGACGAUCCGUAGCUGGUCUGAGAGGAUGAUCAGCCACACUGGAACUGAGACACGGUCCAGACUCCUACGGGAGGCAGCAGUGGGGAAUAUUGGACAAUGGUCGCAAGCCUGAUCCAGCCAUACCGCGUGGGUGAAGAAGGCCUUCGGGUUGUAAAGCCCUUUUGUUGGGAAAGAAAAGCAGCAGGUUAAUACCCCGCUGUUCUGACGGUACCCAAAGAAUAAGCACCGGCUAACUUCGUG